GAAAAAUAGUUUUCAUAGAAGUCACAACUGGACUUGAGCUAAUCGAAUCUAUUAUAUGACUGAUGUUGAGGUUUGACGAUUUAUCCAUGAUCUACCAUCUGUCGGGACUCAUGAUAGAGGGACUGAAUCACACGUUAACUAUACCUAGAGGUUCAUUUCAGUUCUACUAGGUUGCCACUACAUACUGCUAGUUGUCACUG
rnacentral:lncRNA from 1 species